GAGGAACACUCAUUCCUCUAUUGUGUGAUCAUUGGUGGAUUGAGGCAAGAGGACCAAGUGGAGUGACCAACCCUUGGGGUUGUGUGCAAUUGAGGAAAGCUCAAAGAGCAAGGUACUGAUAGAGGUGAGGUUGAUCGAGGCAAGAAGCGUGAGUAGACUGUACCUGAUAGCUGGACAUGUUGAGUUGCAUGCCAUUUAGCAUUGCUAUAUGUAUAUUUUGAUGCCACAUGAUGUAUUUUGGAGGACUUAGUGCAUGAUCAUUGUAGUAGUAAUGGGUAUCUGAUACAGGGUUACUUGCUUUGAUCAUGUUCAUUUUGUAGCUAAGUCCUUUGGCAUGUAUAUGAGAUUUGUAAUUAAGACAUGAUGUAAUAUUGUAAGUAAUGAAGAUAUUGGUGUAUGAUGCUUACUGUAAGUUAAAUGCAUGAAUGUAUUUUUAUGUAUUGGAUAUGUUGAGCUGGAAAGUCAAUUAGGUACCUUGUGCUAAGUUGGGAAACGUUGAGAAAACAAAG